UAAAAUUAUAAAAAAGAAAAAAUUGAGGGAAAACAAAAAGAAGAAGAUAUUUCAUGAGAAAUUGUGUGGUAAAAUCCUUCAAAAAUUGUAUAUAAAGGAGACCCUGCAACCUUCUUUUUUCGACACUCAACUCAACCCUACAAAAAUACCGUAGCUAAUUCCACAAUGAAAACUUCGUUGCUUAUUGUCCAACUAGUUGCGAUCAUUUCACUCCUCAUUUUUAUACUGACGAAAUCUGAUGAUGGAAGGGGCUGCAAGGACUCCGCCUGUACCCCUGUUCCUCCAUGAGGUUCAUCUACAUGCGUUUCCGUAAGAUGCUCAACUAGUAAAAUUCAUGUGUUAGUAUCGAAUAUGUUUAAAGUUUAAUUUUUUUUUUAUGCAUUUUGAGUUUUUUGCCAACAGUAUUUUGAGCCUCUUUAGAAGCUGAUUCCAUAUCGAUGUUCGAAAAUAUGAUAAACGGUGUGUAUGAUGCUCAAGUUUAUGUUAUUUAAAUUGAAGUCCAAGUCUUAAAUAUAAAUAUAUAUUUGGUGAAUAAUAUAGAUAUAUAUUUUGUAUGCAAGUAAUUUAACCCUUUUUUUUAGCUAAUUUUUUCCAUGUAUUUUGACUUUUGAGCCUUUUAAAAAAUAAAAGAUUUUUUCCUUACAAAUCAGAUUUUUCCUCCUUAUUUUUAGUUGGAUUUAAUUUUUGUUUCAAGAGAAAAAAAUAAAAAGGCUGAAAAUCAAGAGGAAAAAUAUGAUUUAUCAUUCUCUUAUUGAAAAGAGAUAAAAAUAACGUAAAAUCACAGUUUUUUACAAUUCUUUCUCGAUAGGAAAGAAGAGGUUGUACAUUUUAGAAUUCUAAAAUUUUAAUUACAGAUGUCUUAUAUUCAUUUAUCAUAUAAAUUUUAGGAUUUCCUACUUCCAUCACACUCCACUCUCAUCUAAACAAAUCCAAAAAAUGUUAUAAUUUUUUGACCAACAAAAACUGAAAGCAAACCCAAACAAAAAUCAAAUCAUUAAAUUACAUCUAUCAAAAUCGAUGGUAAUAUGACACAAAUAAGUUAAAAAAAUUGAUAUGCUAAAAUAAAAUACGAAAUGAAAUUGAAACAAGGCUAAUGAGAUAGAAAUAAGGAAUCAUAAAUAGAGUUCGGAUUAGAAUUCCAUAGAUAAUAUGGAUGGUGUUGCCUAUAAUGAUGGACAAAUGAAAGACUCUUCCAAAAUUUUUAUUUAUCCACUUCCUAUUUUGAAAAUAGGUUGGUUGAACUUAAAAAUUCCUUCAUUGAAUAAGGAAACAAUCCAAUUGCAUGCACUUGAAUUGGAUGGGACCAACAAAAUCGAGCGCUAACCCCCAUUUCUUAUUGAAUUAACCGAUCAACCUCCCCUUUUAGGGACUUGAAUAUUCCCCAACUGUUCUGGUCCAUUUACGGUUAUUGCUUCUGUGAACAUAGUGGCUAUAUAAUCCCAACGCGUUACAUACGGCAAAUAUUGUAUAAUUGUUCGGUUUUCCGCAAUUUUUUCCAUUCCUCUGUGUAAAUAACCUAAUAUUGGUUCACAGUCAACAACAUCUUCACCAUCUAAAGUAACAAUGAGACGAAGAACACCAUGCAUUGAUGGGUGGUGAGGCCCCAUAUUGACUAUCAUAAGGUCUUUUUCUGUAGCUGAUAGAUUCAUAAGUUUUUCCUCAAUUCAUUCUUACAUGAAUUGUUGAAAACGAAAACAAGUACAUCAAAAUGAAAAUCUAAUAAAUCGACUAAUUCAAAAUUUGUAAAUUAACGAUUUUUUGAUUCCCGAAUAUAUAUUUUUUCUUAUUUAAAUUUAAAUAACAACUAAUGUUUUUUUAUUAAAUAGUAGGAUAAAUUAUAUAAAUAGUCACUCAACUUUCAGCGUGUUUAUAUUUUGAUCACUCAGGUUUAAAAUGUUUUAUUUAGUCAUUAACAUUAUCAAAUUUUAAUAUUCUAGUCACUCCUCCUCUAAAUUAUUAAGGGAAUGUUGGCGUGAUCAUUUUUAUUGGCAUAAUAAUAAAUUUAGCCUACCAAUGUUUAUAGAUUCUAUCAAUUUGCUCUUAAUUCUAAAAAUUUUAACAAAUUUGGUCAUCAACUUUGCACAUUCAAUCAAUUUAGUCUUUAUUCUUAAAAAUUAAAAAUUAAAAAAAUAUUUUAAAGUUUACUUUUCGAUAAAAAUACAUAAGAUUUUAUAAAAAUGCAUACAAAAUUAUAAAAGUAUUUAUAAAUAAAUCAAUAUCAACUUUUCUCCUUUUCUAGCAUGACAUUUAUUUAUUAAAAUAAUAAUUUUGUAAACAAAACAAUUUAAGAAAAAAAAAAUUAUGAAGAAGAUUUAAGCAAAUUCAACUUUCCCUGUUUUUCAACAUCAAUGAUCAUCAUGUUCAAUUUGGGUCAAACACUACAAUUUGAGGUUGAAAAUGAUAAGAAUUGGUUGUUGCCCAGAACAGGUUUGUUGUGUUUGAGGUUGUGCUUAUGAGAGGGCAUAAUUGGUGAUAUAUAGGUGAGGAUGAGAUCUUAGAAAUCCAGUAGGUGGAAGCCCAUGUACUAGCAGCUCCACAACUGAUUCCUAGUUCAAUAGCAUGAUGAUGGAGGGUGUGGAAAUCAAGGAGUAUGGAG
rnacentral:lncRNA from 1 species